rnacentral:rRNA from 1 species
AGUGAACGCUGGCGGUAGGCCUAACACAUGCAAGUCGAACGGCAGCACAGUAAGAGCUUGCUCUUACGGGUGGCGGGUGGCGGACGGGUGAGGUAUACAUCGGAAUCUACAUUUUCGUGGGGGAUAACGUAGGGAAACUUACGCUAAUACCGCAUACGACCUACGGGUGAAAGCAGGGGAUCUUCGGACCUUGCGCGAUUGAAUGAGCCGAUGUCGGACUAGCUAGUUGGCGGGCUAAAGGCCCACCACGGCGGCGAUCCGUAGCUGGUCUGGGCGGAGGGUCGGCCGCCCGGGAACUGAGACAGGGUCCAUGCUCCUGCGGGAGGGAGCAGUGGGGAAUGUUGGACAAUGGGCGCAAGCCUGACCCAGCCAGACCGCGUGGGUGGAGAAGGCCUUCGGGUUGUAAAGCCCUUUUGUUGGGAAAGAAACGCAGCAGGUUAAUACCCCGCUGUUCUGACGGUACCCAAAGAAUAAGCGCCGGCUAACUUCGUG